rnacentral:rRNA from 1 species
CGGACGGGUGAGUAACGCGUGGGUAACCUGCCUCAUACAGGGGGAUAACAGUUAGAAAUGACUGCUAAUACCGCAUAAGCGCACGAGAUCGCAUGAUAAAGUGUGAAAAACUCCGGUGGUAUGAGAUGGACCCGCGUCUGAUUAGCUGGUUGGUGGGGUAACGGCCCACCAAGGCGACGAUCAGUAGCCGACCUGAGAGGGUGACCGGCCACAUUGGGACUGAGACACGGCCCAAACUCCUACGGAAGGCAGCAG